GGGGUUGUGGCUCAGUGGUAGAGCGCUUGCCUCGCAAGUGUGAGGCACUGGGUUCGAUUCUCAGCCUCA
rnacentral:tRNA from 1 species